rnacentral:lncRNA from 1 species
UCUCCCCGUUAUUUCGCUGAGAAAUUUCUGUAGGUGAAUGAGUUUGUAGAAACUCUGUGUCGGGGAGCUUCUCCCCGUUUUUAACUUUAGGUUUUUAUGCAAAACUAAGUUUGCUUCUAAGCGUCGAGCAACGUUUUGAGCUUGUGUCGGGGACCUUCUCCCCGUUUUAGGCUUUGUUAUCGUUUCCUCUGUUUUGUCUUUGUUUGCCAUUUUGAUAAGGGCUUUUGGUCGGGGACAGCGUCCUCGCCCUA